rnacentral:antisense_RNA from 1 species
AACAGUCAUGCAGCUGUGGAAAAUGCAGGAGACGGGAAGGCCACAGGAUCAGUGGGCAGCCUGGCAUCAUGAGUAAGUGGAGAUACCAUCACAGAACACCUGAGACUUAGAGCUACACACAACAGGCUGUGCAGUGAUGUGCUGGGCAACAGAACAUCGAUUUCGACGUCAAAAGACCUUCAUAGUGCUUCCGAAUUCUGACUUACCUUAGGCAAGUGCCUGAACCAAUGGGUUCCUCAGUUUCUCCUUUCUGUUGGAAUUGGGUAAUGUUGAUAUUCACCAACCUGCUCUGCAGCGUAAAAGUCUAAUGGCA